rnacentral:rRNA from 1 species
GACGAACGCUGGCGGCGUGCUUAACACAUGCAAGUCGAACGGUGAAGCGCCUUCCUUUUUGGUGGGUGUGGAUGAGUGGCGAACGGGUGAGUAACACGUGAGUAACCUGCCCCCUUCUUCUGGAUAACCGCAUGAAAGUGUGGCUAAUACGGGAUAUUCUGGGUCUGUCGCAUGAUGGGUCUGGGAAAGAUAUUGUUUCGGUGGGGGAUGGGCUCGCGGCCUAUCGGCUUGUUGGUGGGGUGAUGGCCUACCAAGGCGGGGACGGGUAGCCGGCCGGAGAGGGUGGCCGGUCGCACUGGUACUGGGACACGGCGCGGACUCCUACGGGCGGCAGCAGUGGGGAGUAUUGGACGAUGGGAGUAAGGCUGAUGCAGCGACGCCGCGUUAGGGAUGGACGCCUUCGGGUUGUGAACCUCUUUCGCCGGUGACGCAGGCCUGCCUCGUUUGUGGGUGGGUUGACGGUAGCUGGAUAAGAAGCGCCGGCUAACUACGUG